ACGCUGGCGGCAGGCCUAACACAUGCAAGUCGAGCGGUAGAGAGAAGCUUGCUUCUCUUGAGAGCGGCGGACGGGUGAGUAAUGCCUAGGAAUCUGCCUGGUAGUGGGGGAUAACGUUCGGAAACGGACGCUAAUACCGCAUACGUCCUACGGGAGAAAGCAGGGGACCUUCGGGCCUUGCGCUAUCAGAUGAGCCUAGGUCGGAUUAGCUAGUAGGUGAGGUAAUGGCUCACCAAGGCGACGAUCCGUAACUGGUCUGAGAGGAUGAUCAGUCACACUGGAACUGAGACACGGUCCAGACUCCUACGGGAGGCAGCAGUGGGGAAUAUUGGACAAUGGGCGAAAGCCUGAUCCAGCCAUGCCGCGUGUGUGAAGAAGGUCUUCGGAUUGUAAAGCACUUUAAGUUGGGAGGAAGGGUUGUAGAUUAAUACUCUGCAAUUUUGACGUUACCGACAGAAUAAGCACCGGCUAACUCUGUGCCAGCAGCCGCGGUAAUACAGAGGGUGCAAGCGUUAAUCGGAAUUACUGGGCGUAAAGCGCGCGUAGGUGGUUUGUUAAGUUGGAUGUGAAAUCCCCGGGCUCAACCUGGGAACUGCAUUCAAAACUGACUGACUAGAGUAUGGUAGAGGGUGGUGGAAUUUCCUGUGUAGCGGUGAAAUGCGUAGAUAUAGGAAGGAACACCAGUGGCGAAGGCGACCACCUGGACUAAUACUGACACUGAGGUGCGAAAGCGUGGGGAGCAAAC
rnacentral:rRNA from 1 species